UUCUAUUCAAGAAUGGCAGAUCAAAUGCCCUUCUGCCUUCCCACAUUUUGAAGAGUCUUCUAGUCCCCCUCUGAUUUAGCACUGCUCUUAGAUGUCGUUAUUGCAUGGUGACCAAAUGUUCAGCCGAGACACAUGGGACGUGCCUAGCUCUGCCUGGGCAACAUUGCUUCACUGAGAGAGUCUACAAACAAGAUGUACGGGAUUUUAUCUCGAAAGGAUGCACUUUGCCGGGAGAUAAAUGCAAUACCACCAGAGAAGAUCGUGGCUGGGGCACGGUGACAAGAGAGUGUUGCAAUAUCCGCAACUUUUGCAAUAAAUGAAUUUGCCUUCCUGGCUUCACCUUGCCAAUUGGACCGGUGGAAAGCCGUUGCAGCAGAUCAACCAAUAUUAGAAGAUAUUUUCACUUCCCUCUGUAAUAUUUGCGAGAGCCUUCCUAGCAGAUGGUCAUGUAUGGAAGUGUGCAAAUACCACACACUAUGAUUUGGCCCCAAUUAUUUGUCUAAUCACAACCAAUUCGUAGCUCAUCUGAUUUGAUUUGUGUCUGAAUCUUUAAAAGCAUUUGUACGUAUUUGUAUGUAUUUAUAUGGAUGGGAUUUUAAAAAUUAUUUUUGGACUACAAAUCCCAUGAUUCUCAAUCCUAGGAGUUCUACCUGAUAGACAGACACCUUAUAAUCACUUAUAUGAGCUUCAAAAUAGCUGGAGGUCUUUGAGGUUGAGUUAGGCUGACAUCAGCCUUGUUUCUUGUUCCUUGCUAAUGAGUAAUAGUAAAUCAUAUGCAUAUAAAGCUAAUUUAAAUACUUGCAAUUGAACCAUAUACCAUCCUGCUCUGACUAAUACCACGUGACAAUGGUUCCAAACAAAUAACAAUGGAGACAAGCAACAUUCUUGUCUUGUACCUUUCUCCAAAUGAAAAAGAUAAGAAAAGAAUCCAUUGACCCUUACUUGUGAUUUAUGACAGGGACAUAAAAUUUUAAUCCUUUUUACCUUGGGAGAUGGUGAGCUGGAAUUUCCUCUUGAAUGCUGGAAGCAUUCAAGAGAAAAUUGGAUAACCAUCUGUUAGAUCCGCUUUGAUCUGGAUUUGUGCCUUGAGAAGAGGGUUGGACUUGAUCGCCUUAAAGGCCCCUUCCAGCUCAAUUUUUCUAUGAUUUUAUGAUUACCAUGGAAAUUUAGUAAUAGCUUAUGUUUGACAAAUGUUUAAGCAUUUGGCCAAAUACAGUACACAGUUGUAUCCAAUACCUGUGCAAAGCCUUUGAAGAAGUAAACCCAUGUAGUUCCAUCCAUCUGUCCUUGGGUCAAGAUGUAGCAUCCAUUUGGAAUGUUUUUCCAGAUGCUUCUUUUCCAAUAAAAUAUUAUUUUGAAAAAACA
rnacentral:lncRNA from 1 species